rnacentral:rRNA from 1 species
GACGAACGCUGGCGGCGUGCUUAACACAUGCAAGUCGAACGAAGUGGCGAACGGGUGAGUAAUACGUGGGUAACCUGCCCUCCUUUUUGGGAUAAGCCUUGGAAACGGGGUCUAAUACCGAAUAAAGGGGGAUGGGCUCGCGGCCCAUCAGCUUGGUGGUGGGGUGAUGGCCUACCAAGGCGGUGACGGGUAGCCGGCAUGAGAGGGUGAACGGCCACAUUGGGACUGAAAGAGGGCCCAAACUACUACGGGAGGCAGCAGUGGGGAAGAUUGCACAAUGGGGGAACCCCUGAUGCAGCAACGCCGCGUGCGGGAUGACGGCCUACGGGUUGUAAACCGCUUGCAGCCAUGACGCGGUAGUGGCAGAAGAAGCACCGGCUAACUACGUGCCAGCAGCCGCGGUAAUAC